rnacentral:misc_RNA from 1 species
GAUGAAGAACGUAGCGAAAUGCGAUAAGUAGUGUGAAUUGCAGAAUUCAGUGAAUCAUCGAAUCUUUGAACGCACAUUGCGCCCCUUGGUAUUCCAUGGGGCGUGCCUGUUCGAGCGUCAUUUGUACCUUCAAGCCUUGCUUGGUGUUGGGUGUUUGUCUCGCCUCUGCGCGCAGACUCGCCUCAAAACAAUUGGCAGCCGGCGUAUUGAUUUCGGAGCGCAGUACAUCUCGCGCUUUGCACUCAGAACGACGACGUCCAAAAGUACAUUUUUACACUCUUGACCUCGGAUCAGGUAGGGAUACCCGCUGAACUUAAGCAUAUCAAUAAGCGGAGGA